rnacentral:rRNA from 1 species
GAGUUUGAUCCUGGCUCCGGAUGAACGCUAGCAAUACACUUAACACAUGCAAGUCGAAUGUUAAUAACAUGGCGAACGGGUGAGUAAAAAGUAAGAAUCUGCCGUAUAACUCGGAAUAAUUAAAAAUACCGAAUAAAAAGACUUAAUGUCGUUAUAUGAUGAGCUUGCUUAGGAUUAGGUAGUUGGAAAGGUAAAAGCUUCCCAAGCCGAUGAUCCUUAGUUGAUCUGAGAGGAUGAUCAGCCACAUUGGGACUGAGNCAAGGCCCAAGCUUUAGCCUGCAGUGAGGAAUAUUGGACAAUGAGCGAAAGCUUGAUCCAGUGAUAUUGCGUGAAUG